rnacentral:rRNA from 1 species
UACGAAGGGGGCUAGCGUUGCUCGGAAUCACUGGGCGUAAAGGGCGCGUAGGCGGGCCACCAAGUCCGGGGUGAAAGCCCCCAGCUCAACUGGGGAAGUGCCUGGGAUACUGGUGGUCUGGAGGAGGGUAGGGGCAUCUGGAACGCUGGGUGGAGCGGUGAAAUGCGUUGAUAUCCAGCGGAACUCCGGUGGCGAAGGCGAGGGGCUGGACCCUUUCUGACGCUGAGUGCGCGAAAGCCAGGGGAGCAAACGGG